AGCAGCGUAGCUGAACAUCUUACGGAUGGCCCAGGGCUCCAAAGGCUCGUUUCCUAAGUGAGAGAGAGCCUGGCUGAAGCUGUAUUACCAUUCAUUCUCCAGCCUCCGAAGUCUCAAAGCAUCACUUCCACCAUACUCUAACUGUCAAGACAAACACAAAGGCCCAGAAAGAAGAAUACACUAUCGAUGUUCCUUUUAAACAAGUAUUUGAGUAAAAGCGAUGUUUCCAAUGUGUGUCAGAAAGUGAAUACUUGUAUAUUUCCGCACGGUUAGAGCUGAGCUUUCCGAGCAAAUUUUACUGGGACCCGGUUGAAAGACAGGUCUUGGAAGUGAAAUGAUGACUGACUAGAUGAAACUGCCAGACUGUCUUCUGAAGUGGCUAUAAUAUUUACACUCCCAUCAGCAGUGUAGAAGGGGUCUCACUAUGUUGUCUGGAGUGCUGUGGUGGAGUGGAGUGGCUAUUCACAGCUGAGUUUGCAGAGUAAACCACUACCCUGAAAUCUGGAAAGGCAGGUGCACCCACAGAUCCUCAGCUGAGAUCCAAUUACCUGAAAUAGAAGCUGCCAUUAGGAACACUUAAAAGAGCCUGUUCUGCUGGGACACAGAAUCACUUGCUCCAUCUCAUACAUUGAUGAUGAUUAAUUUGUAUGUGUACCUUCCAAAAAAGAUGGUUGUGUUUGAAUGGAGGCCUUCUGGACAGGAAAAUAUGGAGAGUGCGUGCUUUGGAUUCAAGACUGGGAAUGAGGGGACCAGAAACCUAUUCUGUGGCUGUUUCUUGUUAGGACUUUCCUAAGCCUCUGGAAAAGUGCAAAGUACAAUUAACAUUUGAGUCUGUCUGAGUCAUGAAGAAAUGGAGAUUACUGAAAAUAAUUCAUUUUGGUAUCUUCUUACAUCCUGAGAGACUAAUCUUUCCAAGUUCAUCUGAGGCUCCUCUUCUCCAUGACAACCUCAUCCAGGGAUUUCUUCCUGUCCUGGUGUUUUAUGACAUCAUCCUCAUCUCGCUUGUAAGGAUAAUAGCCUUCCUCCAAACCUCACACACUUUUGGAGGAGAUCACUUUUUUUAAAGUGCAUGGAAAUGUUUUGAAACAGUGAAAUCUAUAAUGAUAGGUUUCAUAAUUCUAACAUCCACACCAUAUGAAUCACAUCCUUCCUGAGAUAAUGAGCACACAAUUGCCUGGAUACCUGAAGGAAUGGAGACAGCGGCAGAAAACACUGCAGAGAGGUGGAAACAUCCGUUAAUAUUUUAAAAUCCCAUUACUGCUACCAACAAUAAUAAUGGAUGCAUAGAAAUAGAUCUGGAUUAGCUGAGCUUGAAACAGUCCAUCUCACACACACACAAAAGAAUUUCAGAUACAGUGAACCCACAUGUUGAAGCUUUCUAGUAUAAUAAAAAUUUCAACUGUUCUGUUGAAUCAUCUGCCUGAUUGGAGGCUACAGAAAAGAUGUCAUCUUAGGAGUGCUUGCUCUGAGUGAGGCUCAUCUUCAAAUCUGAAUGACCACAAGGAGAUUUGAUUAUACAUGUGAACACCUCAGAAGGCACAGCCCACCCAGAAGGCAGACAGGUCAGGCUGCUUUUUCUUCAUUGCUUGGAUUCAAUCCUCCGGGCGGCUCAGGCUCAAACAUAACUUAAGCAUGAUUAAACUUUAGAAGAAGCUGCCAGGAAGACUGUGAAAUCUUCAUGCCCAAGGAUCCCUAAAAUUAGGAGCAACAACCACUUGGCUCAGACGGUUUAUGGAGGCAAAGGUUUGGAUGGGAUUAGAGAUUUCUAAAUGUGAGUUCGUGUCCUCUGCCAGACCACCUUACUUCCACCAUUCCUCAGCAAAUCAAGAAAAACAGGAGAAAAGACAUGCCUUUCCAUAAGUUAAAUCUAUUCUGUUUUAAUUCUAUAUUAUAUCUGCUGUACAACUUCUUUUGUUUGUAACACCAUAUUGUUGCUAGUAACUGGAAAUUAAUUUUCACAUGCCUCAGCUUAGAAAAAUAAAAAGCAGCCCUGCA
rnacentral:lncRNA from 1 species